GUCUAGGUUUGGAAAUAUCUAUCAUGCAGUGACAUGCUAACCAGAUGGCUCAGUAGAGCAAAUAUCAACAGGGGAGCUUUGGAGAUUGACACCAACAUCCAUGAUUUACACAUGUUGUAAGAAUGGCCUGACCAGAAUUAUGGGCAAAACAACAACAACAACAAAAACUCCUUGAGCCCUGAGUAUGGGGAGUUUCUGCUUUUGUAGCCUAGUAUCCAUAGACUCCAUGUAUAAUCAAACAACAGCCAAUGUCCCAUGGAAAACAUGGGCUAAGUGCAAAGGUUGUUCUGUGCAACUCCUAAGGCUCAGCCAGAUUCUCCUCUCUCAGGAGUGUUCCUCUGUAUGUGUCAAGUCAGAGCUGUGUCCACAUGCAAACUUCGAAGAUAUGAUAGAGGACAAUACGUCAGCUGACCAGCCUACCAGGUGUUUUAUGCAGUUCAACAUACAAGGUGACAUCAAGGUUUCAGGACAUCCAGAACAAUCAGGAUCAAGUUACAGGUUUGGGCCACUGCAAUGACUUGACCUUUACCUUUCCCAUCCUUGGCACCUUUAAUGAUACCUGGGAGAGCCAGGAGCUGGAUCUUGCCACCUUUGUGUCUGAUGACACCAGGCACAGUGGUCAGAGUAGUGAAUUCAUAGGCUGCCACCUCAGAAUAUACCCCUGCCAGGUUACUAAGCAGUGUCGACUUCGCCACAGAUGAAAAACCAACAAAUCCAGUUCUAGCAUCACCUGUCUUGGCCACAUCAAAACCUUCUCCUGGACCUCCACCACCAGCACCCUUUGGAGUAAUGAGUUCUCGACGAAGCUUAGCAAGACGAGCUUUAAGUAGCCCUAGGUGGUGUGCUGUGGCCUUGUUCUUUUGAGUCUGAGUCAUCUCGGCUUCUGUCUCCACGAUCUUAGCUAAGGUGCUGCCCAUCGUGGCGAGUACAUGUGGCCUCCACACUGUCACCCUUCACACCAACGUUCUUAAUAUAUACUUUUGUAUUGUGUUCUUUCUUUUUUUUUUUUUUUUUUUUUUUGCGGUGAUUCUUUUGGCCUUUCAACUGCUGAAUCACUGUCCCAGGAUAUGGAGAUUUCUUUUCAGACUUAACAAUAAUUCAGAAAUGACAAUUUUGGUAUUAAAUUGUCAUAAAAACAAUAAAAGGUUUUGAAAUAAUAAGUAAAUAUAUUAUUUUCAUAGGAUGUGGUCAUUAUCUGAACAGAAAUCUGAUUCCCAUAUUCCAAUAGUGAUUGUAGAUAAAAUAUAUGUUUUGCCCAUAUUCCACUUAAAAAUGUUCUAAAAAUGUUUGUGAGCUAAUAAUGUGCAUGUCAGUUACAUGUCAUGAUGUGAUAUGAUGGGAAAGUAAAGGAAUGUUUGAAUCAACAGCACAAAAUAUCUUUUUUUUUUUUUUUGGUUAAAGAA
rnacentral:lncRNA from 1 species